GCGGGCAGCAGCCCGUGGUCAUUGGCAGCACCUCUCUCAGUGCCGGUAUUGCUACACACCACACAGGAGGGAUUGGACAAAUGGAAAGUCACUCCUGAGCUGUCCGGAGGGAGCAAAGUGUGGAAGACAAUGGACCAACUAGGAUGUUAUGACAAUAACUGGGGAUGUUGGUGGCUUGGCUGCAGCAAAAUCAGGCUCAUGACAGCCGAGAGAUAUCCAGGUCAUCCUGAGAUUGUGAGGAGUGACCCCUACGGAAUGUUGGGACACCUCCCUCGUCCAGUGAACCGAGCAGGAUCCUAGCUGGCAUAUCGUAAUUAGUGUGGCUGAAGGCAGUCUGCAGGGAAAAAGAGAGAGGAAUUCAAAUCUUACAUGUGUUUCCUAAGACCCCAACAUGGCACACAGAGAUCCCUUACGGCAUCCCUACCGUGUUACUCUACUGCUCACUGCAUUUCUUCUCUGCCUGACCCUACUGGGACCUACUCUUUGCCCUUUGGGAAGUGUGAGAGGGAUAGCUGGAGGUGCCUUCCCCAAAUGGAAGUCGUUUGUUGGCACUCUCAAACCUGUAAGUGUUGUUUCUGAAUGCCAUCUAUUCCCACCACAGAAUCACCGACUCAGAGCUUACUGCACAAGGAAGAAAGGGUCCAGGGGCCGGGGGUGUUUCACCUGUGCCUGCUGGGCGAGACUGGCCCCAGGCUGCUGGCGUGGACCCGGCCGCUCAGCACCUGGUGGUUCACAUGCUGGGCCCCCAGGUGCCAAGCAUUGCUCAGAGGCACAGGUGUCCUCCUUCCCACUUCUCAAAAGCCGGCUCCCUCCACCUCCCUGUUCCUGUCCCCCUCCUCCUGCAGGGACCUUCUCUGUGAACCUCCUGCCUUGGACGGGGUGA
rnacentral:lncRNA from 1 species